UGGGCGUAAGCGCGCGCAGGUGGUUUCUUAAGUCUGAUGUGAAAGCCCACGGCCUCUCCGUGGAGGGUCAUUGGAAACUGGGAGACUUGAGUGCCCAUUAGGAAAGUGGAAUUCCAUGUGUAGCGGUGAAAUGCGUAGAGAUAUGGAGGAACACCAGUGGCGAAGGCGACUUUCUGGUCUGUAACUGACACUGAGGCGCGAAAGCGUGGGGAGGGAACAGGAUUAGAUAUCCUGGUAGUCCACG
rnacentral:rRNA from 1 species